UUUGGACGCAGGCUCAGUGUUUAGUCCCAGCGUUCGGUGGAGUCCGGAGAGACUCAGGAUCAGAUGAGUCGGGGUCUGGAUGUGGCUCCAAGUGAAAGGCCUGUGGGGUCCACCUAGGUCCGUGCAGGUUACAAAUGGCAACCAGAACAGGGACUCCAAGCACGCCCAACUAGCAGCAUCCAAUCAUGGGACUUCAAAGACGUGAAUGAAGAAGGUCUGCUGGAGCAGAGGAACUGAAACUGACUAGGCGAAAGGGGACCCGGGGAAGAGUCUGCCGGCAGCAGAUAUAAGGGGGAUAUGCAGGGAGCCGAAGGCCCAUGGGACGUGACCAACUCAGCAUUCCACUGGAGGCUAUAUGAUCAAACAGCAAACUGUUUAUCAUGAAUACAGGAUGUGGGCAAACUCAGGACUGCUCCUGCCAACAUAAGGUUUGCUGGAGGCAAUCACUCCCUGGCACGGAGGUUAUCUACUGCGACAUCUAGAGAAUGCAGUCCUGCAAGCCUACUCUGAACUGAGCAGCUGACCCCUUCUUCCACCCCCCCCCACCCUCCUAUCUCUUUUGCCUAAUAAAUACGGAGGGCUGUGUAAAGCUCAGGGCCCUUGUCCACUAGAGGCAAGGUGCUCCCUGACCCCUUCUCCCAAAU
rnacentral:lncRNA from 1 species